UACGGAGGGUGCAACGUUGCUCGGAAUCAUUGGGCGUAAAGCGCACGUAGGCGGCCUGAUAAGUCGGGUGUGAAAGCCCUGGGCUCAACCCAGGAAGUGCACUCGAAACUGUCAGGCUUGAAUAUGGAAGAGGGUCGCGGAAUUCCCGGUGUAGAGGUGAAAUUCGUAGAUAUCGGGAGGAACACCAGUGGCGAAGGCGGCGACCUGGGCCAAUAUUGGACGCUGAGGUGCGAAAGCGUGGGGAGCAAACAGG
rnacentral:rRNA from 1 species